AGCAGCCGCGGUAAUUCCAGCUCCAAUAGCGUAUAUUAAAGUUGUUGCAGUUAAAAAGCUCGUAGUUGAAUUUCGGGAUCAAUAUGUUGGUCGUGCCUCGGUACGUACUAGCAUAUUGGUUUCUCCUUUCUGAAGAACCAUGAUGUCAUUUAUUUGGUGUCGUGGGGAAUCAGGACUGUUACUUUGAAAAAAUUAGAGUGUUUAAAGCAGGCUCACGCUUGAAUACAUUAGCAUGGAAUAAUGAAAUAGGACGUUUGAUUCUAUUUUGUUGGUUUCUAGGAUCGACGUAAUGAUUAAUAGGGAUAGUUGGGGGCAUUAGUAUUCAAUUGUCAGAGGUGAAAUUCUUGGAUUUAUUGAAGACUAACUACUGCGAAAGCAUUUGCCAAGGAUGUUUUCAUUAAUCAAGAACGAAAGUUAGGGGAUCGAAGACGAUCAGAUACCGUCGUAGUCUUAACCAUAAACUAUGCCGACUAGGGAUCGGAUGAUGUUAAUUUUUUUAAUGACUCAUUCGGCGCCUUACG
rnacentral:rRNA from 1 species